rnacentral:rRNA from 1 species
UACGAGCGGCCCAAACGUUAUCCGGAGUUACUGGGCGUAAAGGGCGUGUAGGCGGUUUGUUAAGUCUGGCGUGAAAGCUCUCGGCUAAACCGGGAGAGGUCGUUGGAUACUGGCAAACUAGAGGAUGGUAGAGGCGUGUGGAAUUCCGGGUGUAGUGGUGAAAUGCGUAGAGAUCCGGAGGAACACCAGUGGCGAAGGCGACACGCUGGGCCAUACCUGACGCUAAAGCGCGACAGCAUGGGGAGCAAACGGG